rnacentral:rRNA from 1 species
UACAGAGGUCCCAAGCGUUGUUCGGAUUCACUGGGCGUAAAGGGUGCGUAGGCGGUUUGGUAAGUCUCGUGUGAAAUCUCCGGGCUCAACUCGGAGCCUGCACGAGAAACUGCCGGGCUUGAGUGUGGGAGAGGUGAGUGGAAUUCCUGGUGUAGCGGUGAAAUGCGUAGAUAUCAGGAGGAACACCUGUGGCGAAAGCGGCUCACUGGACCAUAACUGACGCUGAUGCACGAAAGCUAGGGGAGCAAACAGG